rnacentral:misc_RNA from 1 species
GGAUAAACCAGAUUAUGCUUAUCUCAAGAGAAUUUUCCGUGACCUUUUCAUUCGUGAAGGUUUUCAGUUUGAUUAUGUAUUUGACUGGACCAUUUUGAAAUAUCAGCAGUCACAGCUUGCCAAUCCUCCAUCUCGUGCUCUUGGUGGUACCGCUGGACCAAGUUCCGGGAUGCCUCAUGCUCUUGCUAAUGCUGAGAGGCCAUCAGGUGGUGAAGAAGGUCGGCCUGCUGGUUGGUCGGGCAAUCUUGCUCGUAAUAGGAACACGGGGCUGCAGUUCAACUCUGGGAGCUUAGCAAAGCAAAAAGGGACAGUUGCCAAUGAUUUAUCCAUGGGUAAAGAGUUAUCUAGUUCAAGUUUUUUCCGGACUAGUGGAUCAACUAGGCGUCCAGCUGUCUCUAGCAGUCGUGAUCCAGUGAUCACCGGUGUUGAACCUGAUCCCUCUCACAUUCGGAAAACAGAUGCAAGUCCAGGACAGCUCCGUAAAACUUCCAGUGUUGCUCAGAGAAGUUCACCAGUCAUGUCAUCAGAUCAGAAGCGCAGCUCCUCCACUAGAAUGGACAAGAACUUUGAGGCCGCCCUUAAAGGAAUAGAGGGCCUAAGUGUCAAAAAUGAUGAGAGGCUGCAUUACUAGCUUUGCUGCUUUAUCUCAGUUCUCUCUGGUUACUGCAAAAUCUUGGCAGAAAAAUUGCAUCAACUUUGGGUAUAUCGCUACGAUUUGCCAUCAGGAAAGGCUAAAACUAGAAAUUAAUGUGAGAUCCCUCUAGUAAUCUUUGGCAUAUGCUUCUUCUGUACAUUUGGCACUUUCUUUUUUCUCAUCUCCCUCUCUCUAUCCCCCUUUAUGAGAGUUCUGUGCAUUUUCAAUGGUGUUAUGUUGUGAAUUAUGAAUGUAUUUUUGUAUGGUUGGAGACUAAAUAUUCACUUGAGACUUGUUGUAUUGGAGUUACACCCAUCUUUUU